rnacentral:tRNA from 1 species
UAUUUAAAUAGUUUAAAUAAAAUAUUGGUUUGUGGGGCCAGGGAUAUAUAAUUGUAUUUUAAAUAA